UACGAGGGGGGCGAGCGUUGUUCGGAUUUAUUGGGCGUAAAGGGUGCGUAGGCGGUUUGGUAAGUCUGGUGUGAAAUCUAUGGGCUCAACUCAUAGUCUGCAUCGGAAACUGCCGGGCUUGAGUGUGGGAGAGGUGAGUGGAAUUCCUGGUGUAGCGGUGAAAUGCGUAGAUAUCAGGAGGAACACCUGUGGCGAAAGCGGCUCACUGGACCAUAACUGACGCUGAUGCACGAAAGCUAGGGGAGCAAACAGG
rnacentral:rRNA from 1 species